AUGGUGACUCCUGGGCUCCAGACAGGAUCUUGCUAUAUAGUGCAGCUGUGUACAUCAGACCUGCCUCUUGUCUUCCAUGUGCUGGGAUCAAAGGUGGGCGCAACAUCUGGUGGCCUGUACAGGGCCCAAGGACAACGACCUUGUGGAUUCAGAACUCUUCAGCUGAGGAACGGUGGUACCGGAACAAGAAAAUCCAAUCUGGGUACCAGAGCGAUUGACAUGAAAGCUGCCUACAACUUCUAUCCCGUCCUCCCCCACCCCCCCACCGAAGAUGAAACUAUGGAUCCUGUGGCUGGGAAUGCUCCCGCUAGUGAGAAAUGAAGAGCUACGUUGGGGAAUUAUGUCUGUGUUCCUGAAACCCAUGCCAUUGACGCAUUCAAGUGUUUCCUCAAUUCUUUACAUCUAAUGCUUCACUACAAUUGCCUUUUUUCUAUGCUGCUUCAGNNNNNNNNNNNNNNNNNNNNNNNNNNNNNNNNNNNNNNNNNNNNNNNNUAAUGCUACCUGGAUUUGAGGGGUGUGGCCUGCCAGUAUAUCCAAGGGCAAUGGCACUAUACCCUCCCAACCUAGAUGGGCCCCCCUUCCUUUUUGUAGGAGUAUUCCUGAUUCCCUUCCACCUUGGGCAGUGCUCCUUAUAUGUAUGGUUGUCAUGUGGGGUGAAUGGUAGUUGCACUGAUCCCUUGCCUCAGGGCUGAUGGGAGCCAUGGGAUGUAUGCUUGUAAUAGUGUGUGUGUUGUGUGUUUGGUGUAUGUGUUGGAUGCAGUGUGUGCAGACCGGAACUUCCACCAUGGUGGCGCAGGCCUUUGCCAGAGUAGAGGUGGGACAAUCUCAGAUUUGGCUUGCCGCUCUAAAGAAAUAAUGCUGUGUUAUGCCAUGGGUUGCAAGGCUAAGCACUGCACAGAGGAUAGCUUGCUGUUGGCAUCCUGUGGAAGGCACGUCUGAUUGCAUGAAGGUUCAGUNCUCUGGGUGAUGAACCCAAAGGAUGGUUUUGUGUAGGGCCCCUAUGCUUGCACACUGGGGAUCAGACCUCUACCUUCACCCAUGAGGCUUGUGUAGCAAUCAAAAUUGGGCCAGAGAUUAAUCAGUGUCCUGGCCUUCUGGUGCAUCUGCUGCAUGCAGACAGGACAAUCUCCUCAUGUGUGGCUUGGCAUGCUAGAAAAGUAGUCAGUGGCAGAUAAGACUUCCCUGGGCAUGUCACCAACCUAAGACAGCGAUCAAAUCAAUGCUGCUUGUCUCUCAAGGACGGGUAAGGGGCAUUGCUGCAGGGGGCAAUCUAAGACAGACAUUCUCUCUGCCAAAAAAAGGGGGGAGAUGUGAGGAGUGGGUGUGGACGCAGUUCCAAGAUGGCGCUCGGGACUGCAGCUAAGUCUUAUGACUUGCACCUGACUUCCUCAUACACCUGAAAAUAAACCAUGACCAUCGUGAGAGCUGUGCAGGUGUACCACGAUGCUGGCAAUGUAAUCAAGUCCAUAUUUGGUGGAGACAUGCCUCUGCCGCCCUGAUUGGCUGAAGCUGCGUGCCUGGUGAGGUGGCAUGGCCUGCUGUGAGUGGUUGGGGGCUGAGAGUAUAUAAGCAGACCUCCCUGGGUUCCCAGGGUCCCCGUAGCAGCAUUGAGGCAUUCCUGCAAUAGAGGCUGUUGAGAAGAAUCCGACCGUGUUGUGUCUUCCUUGCCAGCCUAGGUGGGCACAACAAAAGACGAUUUAUUAAGCAAGUGGCAAUAGAUAUCACCUAUAAACCUAUACACAACAGCUAAAGACAUGGCUUAGUGGGUAAAGGUGCUUGUUAAGCGAAACUGAAAAUCUGAGUUCUAUCCCUCUAUUCCACAUAGAAGGCACUGGAUUAUGUACACACACACACACACAUGUUCCAAUAAAGAUU
ensembl:processed_transcript